CCCCCCCAUCCCCCUACUCUCCCCUCCUCCCCCUUUAUUACCCUUUGUGUGUGUCUCUCCCCUCCACUGCUCCAGGAGAGGAAAUAAAAGUGGGGUGCAGCCAAGAUUAUCAUGGAAACCCUAUGUUGUUGGAUGAUGUUAAUCAUUGUUGAAAAUGAUACUGUUUUCAAAGAAGACUUUUAAAAAAGAGGAUUUUAUGCAGAAAAGAUUUUCUUGUUGGAGCUGUAUCAUCAUGAGAGAAUCAGAAGAGGUAUCCUGCAGCAGCUUGGAUAAUGAAUGGAAGAGGACAAGAAAACAAAAAGGACAUGGCAUAUAAGAGGAUUUAAGACCUGGAACUCUUGGCUGUAACGCGCCUGUCAAAAUGGGGUUUAUUCUCUCAAAACAGAAAUUACUGUAG